GCGGGGACCAAGCCACCCGAAAGCCUUGUGUUGUGCCAUGGGCACCAUCGAGCAGAGCAGAGCCGUGCGCAUACACCAACAACGGGGUCUCCAAGGCAAGCUCGGUAGCUUCACCUAGACUCCAGGAGGGCGUCCGAGCACUCGCUGGGCGCGUGUGGUGCACGGUGCAACUGGCGAUUUCUCGCCGGAGUUGAGAAACUGCGCCACAUCGUGGCCAGGGUCUACGACUACAUGAGAGCUGGUAAGAACGCCACUGUUCACCUCGCUACCUUCGGUGCAUCGUGUAGGACCAUCUGGUCGGUAGGUUGGAGCCUUUUCGCUUGGACAACCAUCUCCGGCGUGCUCAUCGACGGAUUAGUGGGCGGCGCCACCGUGCUCUGGAUCCUGGGAGGGAGAAGAACCGAUGGUCGCUGAUCAGUAUUCAACGGUCGUGAUCAUGACGCACGCAACCCUUCCGGUGGGGAAAUCUGAACCGUGGAUCUGGCAAGUAGCGGCUCAGAUUAAAACCCGGUGUACCAGUUCGGGGGUCACGUUGUGGCCAUUGGAUCUCGUUUGGGCGAUCGAGAUUACAACGUAUAGUACCCCCCUUCGUCCGUCGAUCUGAGCCAUUGAUCGUGUGGGUACCGAUUCGUAAAGCACUCAAUCUAAUCCACGUCACAGACUGGUAAUCUAACGACUCAUAUCCAUCAAUACCCCUUCACCUCAGAACAAUUGUAAAAGAGCCCCUACACUUAUUUAUAAAUAACCCGUCGUCCAUCGAAAGCAUAAGAUUAUCACGGUUAGGUCUAGAUUUUUACAGAAUAAGCCCUGAAGACUUAAGAAAUAGCAUCCGCAGUUCAUACGGUUCAGAAAUAAUAAAAGAAAUAUGGAAAUUAAUUUUCGAGUAUAAAAGUAAUUCCCAAAUCUUAGAAAAUUCAUAACUUUCACAUUUUAACUCCGAUUUGGCCCGUUCAAAUUGUGUUAGAUUCGUAAUAAAAUAUUCUACAUAGCGAAAAACAUUAUUUUGUCAAAUCAAAUACUUUUAUAAUUAGAUAUUUAUUUAACUUAUGUUAGUUGAUUAAUCAUUCUAAUCAAAGUUAGUCUGUCUAUGACUAUAAUUUAACUAAAAUAUGAUUUCUACUAUGGUAUAAUGUAGAUUAAAGUUAUUUCUUUAAUAUCGUUAUCACAUGAUUUAUAAACUCAAUAUAAAGACCUAGAUCUAAUUGGUUAAUCACAUAGAUCUUCCAGAAAACCAUCUCUCUUCAUCCAUAACUCCGAUUUUAGUCGUUGUCGAACCCACGACCUCGUAGGAUCACGUAGAAUAUUCUUAUGCUAUUUGUUUUCAUAUUUAGUGUACUGAUAUUUUUUGUGAUCCUUGUAUAUUUGUAUGUAUUGCUACGAAUAGGGGUGAGGUCACAAGAAUCUGAAUACCAUCUUGGUACAUGGGAUCUCGAGUCUAAGUCAAGUUGUGCCCUUGAUCACUUUUCUCUACCUAAUAAUGUUCCUGUUAAUCAUUAUGACAUGUUUAGGUUAAUUUGAUGGGACCUAAUAGGUUUCCUUUGUAUUGUUUAUCCCACACCUUUCAAACAAAAGAACUAUUUGGUAGAUUUGCUAUUGCUCUACCUCGUUUCAAGAAAUUAAUGUUAUAUUAUGAUCAUGUUCUAAUUUUGCUGUUGUUUUAAUUAUUGUUCAUGAUAAGAUCAUUAUGUUAAUUUGAACAUGGAGUGACCACCUGGGAAAAUAGUGCUACAACAAGGGUGGUAUGGGACGCCCUUGGCUAAUUAAAUAGAAAAGCUAGUGGAGGACUACCUUACCCGAAAGGGGCAAGGGCAGUAGAGGAGUUGUGGUAUAGGGAGGUUCUUGGGUCGAUCAUGCUGCGAUGGCUUUUCGGACGAGGGAUUCCUAUAUCGCCCUUCUCAGAAACCAUAGUGGGUUUUCUGUAGCUAGUGGAACUUUAUAAAGGCCUCGUAGUGCUACCCUGCCUCGCCUCCUCGGUAGAGGUGUAUGCGAUUCAUGACCUUGUGGCAGAUGGGUAACACGACUUGUGGGUAAAGAUGCACAAUCUCUGCAGAGUGUAAAAUUGGUAUAUCAGCCAUGCUCACAGUCAUGAGUGGCUCGGACCCUCACAUGAGUAAUUUAUGGAACUAAAUUUAAAUUGUCAUAUGCAUUGCAUUGUGGGUGUUAUUAUUGAUUGUGACCUCUUAUUUAUUUAUUUGGGUUGGUAUCUACAUAUACUUAGUAACUGCUAAUAAAAUUUUGACCAACUUUAAAAGCAAUGCUCAGCUUUAACUACCUCCCUUGGUAAGGCUUACACUUCACAUGAGCCCCCACCGUAAGUGAGCUCAUGCACAUUAUUCCUCACAACUUGUUGAGCAAUGAUUGCAUGUGAGUCACCCUUGUCGUACUUACAUUCCCCUAGGUCAAGAAUAGGUACCACAAGAUGAGGAGCAUGAAGGAUGUCGCGAUGAGAUUCGUGAGAGUUCUAGGCCGUCGUCUCCCAGUAACCUAUGGUUGCUGGAUCGUUGUCUUCGUAUGUUGUAAUUAUUUAACUAUUUUAUACAAAACUCCAUUAUAUAUUAAAGAUGUGGCAAUCGUUUCUGUACCAUGAAUCAUCAUAUGUGUGAGACUUGAUCCUAGCACACAUUUGAGACGCGCCCGGGUUUGCCCCUUAAACCCGGUGUGACAGUCCACGUCUGGGGCUCAGACAAUCCACGUUCUUCACAAAGAACUUGAAUCUCGCCUAGAAUUUUGAGGAUGGGUAUUCGGAAUUUUAGUGGUCACAAUUUUUUGAAAGCCUAAUUUUGUUAUGGAAACAGAUAAUUGUCCAUCGAACACAUAGAUGGUAUAAUUUGUUAUCCACGUGUAUGGGUAUGAAUACAAUAAGGUAUUCAUGGUAAAUUUUUCUUGGGUAUGGAUAUACAGUAUCCAUACCCAUUACCCGAUGUGUAUCUGACAUUAGUACAAAUUUAUACCUAUGAACGUAUAUAGGUACGAGUAUGGAUUUAAUUUUGUCUUGUAGUUAUAGAUUUGUACAAAUUUAUACCUACGAACGUAUAUAAGCACAAUAUGGAAAUGAAAAAGGGCAGCGAAAAGUGAAGUUUGGAACAAAUAGUUGUAAGCCUGUAAACAAUGUUAUUUUAUAUUUUUACAAUAAUUUAGUGUAUAAACAUAAUAUGUGUAUAUACAUAAAUUUUGUCGCUAAAAAUAAUGGGUAUUUAAUUGAAUACCCUUGCUUCUACAUGGGCCCGCCCCUGAUCUCGCCUUCUGGAAGGGAUCCCGUCGAGGAGGAGAGAUCCAGGGGUUGUUCUAAGAUCGAUAGGCCACCUAAGACGUCUCUAAACGACGUCGGACCGAAGAGAGGUGAAAUAAUAGGUCGAGGAAGACUAAUACUAGGGCUAGACUAAGGCUAGAUUACUCUUACUCCUGAGGAAUGGAAAGAACAAUGCAAAUAAGAUAAAUAUAAUAAAUAUGUUUGGUUGGAUCGAUUGUGGGGGUUUAAUCAGCCGUACCCUCCAUCUAUAUAGGGGGUCUGGACCUGUAAGUCGGUUCCCGAAUUACUCCCGGGGAUUUUGCUAACAAACCACGCAAGAAAUCUAGAAUCGUAACUGAUUCUACGCUCGCGCGGACCGUUCGCCUGGCAACUUUGGUGCUCAACAUAUGCCCCCUGCCCUUGGGUGGAGGUUGCUGAGCCAAAAGCAUAUGCAUUGCAGCACUCUCGAGAAAUAAUAAUUCUCACAAGCUAUUUUGUUCCUGAAGUAAGAACUAAGACUGAUUCAAGUCAUCUGCCUAUUCAACCUAAUAGGGUCAUUAUGGAGUUCUAAUGCAUAAAAGUUGUUUAGGAUUAUAUCUUUCUAGGCCAUGACCAUUUGAUCAAUAAGUCAGCAUGUAUAAAAAUAUGGUGCCCCUAGCCUAAAUAAGCGAAGGGACUAUGCAUGUAGUAUGGGUUCAUCGUCGUACUAUACCAUAUUUGAAUGGGACAAUAUGUUGGCGAUGAAUAGGCUGGUGGAAAGUACCAUGGCAUCAUUUGAUAAACAUGUGACACUUGUUGCAUCGCUCUCUGGACCGUUUUAUUCGGUCAUGUUGCCUUUGCUGGUUAUUGGAGUUGCUUCGUUGGUCGACCGCAAGGGAUGGCCUUUUCAAAAGCAGGGACAACUUUAUCUAGCCGACUAAAAGUUUUAGAUGAUUUUUGCUUCGAUGUACCUAUUUCUAGUCGUCGAUGCUUGAAGGCAUGUGAACGCUAUGACCUCUGGUUGCUGCUGGACCGUCUGACCAGAUGAAUCAGACUGUCCGUGUGAUUUUUGGACCGUCCGCACAUAAGCGUCGGAGCGUCCGCGAUGCAUGGGACAUGGAGCUUUAAUCGGUUAAGCGAUCACACUUGCCCCCUGAAAGCAUCUAGGCCCCUGGUUGGUUUUAGUUAUUAAUGACAAUGUAAGAUUACUUAUGAUUAACGUGUGUUUUGUAGAGCAAAUGGUAAGUUAGGUCACAAUGCAGGAAGUUGCGCUACAACCGUGAAAACAAUGCCUCAGAUGAGAACUUAAAGCGACGACUGAAAAAGGCGAAUCAAAACUUCAUAUCCUAAGUGUCGAAGGAGUUGUGGGACACUUGGUAUAGAGUUAGGACUUCUAUUUUUAUUUUAGCCAUACUGUAAAGAGGGGUUGUGGAUGAGUAGUUUGACCAAGAGAUAACUAGUGUAGUGUCAAUGCAUGUUCACACUCACAACUAGUGUUAGGUGUCACUCUAGAACUCACUCACAAGUUAGAAUCGAAAUCGGGUUAGAAAAUCUCAAGAAAAGAAAGUGUGUUGCUGUCCUAGGGGCACCGGACUGCCUGGUGUGCAC
rnacentral:lncRNA from 1 species